rnacentral:rRNA from 1 species
ACUACGGGAGGCAGCAGUGAGGAAUAUUGGUCAAUGGGCGGAAGCCUGAACCAGCCAAGUAGCGUGCAGGAUGACGGCCCUACGGGUUGUAAACUGCUUUUAUACGGGAAUAACGCGCCUUACGUGUAGGGCUUUGCAUGUACCGUAUGAAUAAGGACCGGCUAAUUCCGUGCCAGCAGCCGCGGUAAUACGGAAGGUCCGGGCGUUAUCCGGAUUUAUUGGGUUUAAAGGGAGCGCAGGCCGCAUGUCAAGCGUGCUGUGAAAUGUCCGGGCUCAACCCGGGCCUUGCAGCGCGAACUGGCGUGCUUGAGUCCGCGGAAAGCAGGCGGAAUUCGUCGUGUAGCGGUGAAAUGCUUAGAUAUGACGAAGAACCCCGAUUGCGAAGGCAGCUUGCUGCAGCGGAACUGACGCUGAUGCUCGAAAGCGCGGGUAUCGAACAGGAUUAGAUACCCUGGUAGUC